rnacentral:rRNA from 1 species
CUUUAUUGGAGAGUUUGAUCCUGGCUCAGGACGAACGCUGGCGGCGUGCCUAAUACAUGCAAGUCGAGCGAAUCA